UACGUAGGGGGCAAGCGUUGUCCGGAAUUAUUGGGCGUAAAGCGCGUGUAGGCGGCUCGAUAAGUCUGCUGUGAAAGUCCAGGGCUCAACCCUGGAAUGCCGGUGGAUACUGUCGAGCUCGAGUCCGGAAGAGGCGAGUGGAAUUCCUGGUGUAGCGGUGAAAUGCGCAGAUAUCAGGAGGAACACCAAUGGCGAAGGCAGCUCGCUGGGACGGUACUGACGCUGAGACGCGAAAGCGUGGGGAGCGAACAGG
rnacentral:rRNA from 1 species